AAAACGUAAACGAUUUCUCCAAUAAAACUUUACCUAAGGCAAUUACCGUUUCGUGUUCCACCGACUAUCCCCUGCUGUUCCCAUUCGUUCUCUUUCCUUUCCCCCUAUUUUGAGCUGCCGUCACGUUUGUGUUUGCCGAUUUGCGCUACACGACGACUGUGAAGGUUUGUUUUACUGCCGAGCGUGUUGUUCAUUUUCGUUUAUCUACUCAGCUCUCAGCUAAGGUUCGUCUCUUCAUUUCUUAUUUGUUGUCUCAGUCUCUUCCAGUGAUUUUCGAGUCGUGGUUGCGUGGAAUUUGUUCUGUUUUUGUUUCUCAUUGUCGAACUUCCAAUUUCCCUUUGUCUUCGUCUAUAUGUUUGAUUCCUGUCCUGCUGAGCUUCUCUUGGUUUGUAUUGAUUUUUAAUGGUUAUGUAAGCCUCUUAUUUAUCUUUGUUUCCUGUUCUUUUUGCCUUGCCUUAAUUUUUUUCCCCGUUGAUUCACUCCUCUUUGUUUGUUGUGUGCGGGUUCAUUUGUUCCAUGUAACAAAUCAGGCUGCUCUUACAGUUAUGUGUGCUUCAAUCUGUGGUUCACCGGGCUGUUACACUCAUGUUCUGUAGAGUUGCAAGUCUUCUCUGAGAGUGGCAGGAAGCUCAAGUCAAAGGUACUGCAAUGGAGAGUUGCAGCAGAAUUUGAGCACUAUAUGAGGGUACAGAUUGCAGCUCGCGUAACAGAUGCUACUAAAGUUGAAUUUUUAGGCGCAGAUUCCAUGCUCUCACAACUGGAUUAAUGUGAUUCUUUACAUACUACUCUCUAGGCAGGAGUUCUAGGAUGCAAUCAAGGGGAAAACAGAGAUAAUCGUGGAUGGAGUUGGGAACGGAGUUAUGGACAGGGCCGAUGGCUCUGGUAUGGACUUGAGAAGCAAUGCAAGGAGUAAAUAGUUUAUUAUUUUCAAAAAAUUCAAUAAUAUUGUUGCUUUUGGAGGCUCGAAUUUCAGACUUUGGACUAGCAAAACUGUGAGAACAAGAAGAAUCUCACAUCACAACCAUUGUUGCUGGGAAAUUUGGUUAUUUGGUUCC